rnacentral:rRNA from 1 species
UACGUAGGGUGCGAGCGUUAAUCGGAAUUACUGGGCGUAAAGCGUGCGCAGGCGGUUCGUUGUGUCGGCGGUGAAAGCCCCGGGCUUAACCUGGGAAUGGCCGUUGAAACUGGCGAACUGGAGUGUGGCAGAGGGGGGUGGAAUUCCGCGUGUAGCAGUGAAAUGCGUAGAGAUACGGAGGAACACCGAUGGCGAAGGCAAUCCCCUGGGCCUGUACUGACGCUCAUGCACGAAAGCGUGGGGAGCAAACAGG